ensembl:snRNA U6 U6 spliceosomal RNA
GUGCUCGCUUCAGCAGCACAUAUACUAAAAUUACUAGAAUGAUACAGAGAAGAUUAGCAUGGCCCCUGUGCAAGGACGACAUGCAAAUUUGUGAAGCAUUUCAUAUUUUU